GAUGAAGAACGUAGCGAAAUGCGAUAAGUAAUGUGAAUUGCAGGAUUCAGUGAAUCAUCGAAUCUUUGAACGCACAUUGCGCCCUCUGGUAUUCCGGGGGGCAUGCCUGUUCGAGCGUCAUUAUAACCACUCAAGCUCUCGCUUGGUAUUGGGGUUCGCGGUUUCGCGGCCCCUAAAAUCAGUGGCGGUGCCUGUCGGCUCUACGCGUAGUAAUACUUCUCGCGAUUGAGUUCGAUAGGUCUACUUGCCAGUAACCCCCAAUUUUUACAGGUUGACCUCGGAUCAGGUAGGGAUACCCGCUGAACUUAAGCAUAUCAAUAAGCGGAGGA
rnacentral:misc_RNA from 1 species